CAUUAAUCAGUUAUCGUUUAUUUGAUAGUACCUUUACCUGGAUAACCGUGGUAAUUCUAGAGCUAAUACAUGCUAAAAACCUCNACUUCGGAAGGGGUGUAUUUAUUAGAUAAAAAACCAAUGCCCUUCGGGGCUCCUUGGUGAAUCAUAAUAACUUAACGAAUCGCAUGGCCUUGCGCCGGCGAUGGUUCAUUCAAAUUUCUGCCCUAUCAACUUUCGAUGGUAAGAUAGAGGCUUACCAUGGUCUUAACGGGUAACGGGGAAUUAGGGUUCUAUUCCGGAGAGGGAGCCUGAGAAACGGCUACCACAUCCAAGGAAGGCAGCAGGCGCGCAAAUUACCCAAUCCCGACACGGGGAGGUAGUGACAAUAAAUACUGAUACGGGGCUCUUUUGGGUCUCGUAAUUGGAAUGAGUACAAUCUAAAUCCCUUAACGAGGAACAAUUGGAGGGCAAGUCUGGUGCCAGCAGCCGCGGUAAUUCCAGCUCCAAUAGCGUAUAUUAAAGUUGUUGCCGUUAAAAAGCUCGUAGUUGAACCUUGGGCCUGGCUGACCUGUCCUCCUAAUCGAGCGCACGGGUUCGGUCGGGCCUUUCCUUCUAGGGAACCCCAUGCCCUUCACUGGGUGUGGUGGGGAACUAGGACUUUUACCUUGAAAAAAUUAGAGUGUUCAAAGCAGCCUUUGCUCGAAUACAUUAGCAUGGAAUAAUAGAAUAGGACAUCGGUUCUAUUUUGUUGGUUUCUAGGACCGCCGUAAU
rnacentral:rRNA from 1 species